ACUCCUACGGGAGGCAGCAGUGGGGAAUUUUGGACAAUGGGCGCAAGCCUGAUCCAGCCAUUCCGCGUGAGUGAAGAAGGCCUUCGGGUUGUAAAGCUCUUUCGCAAGGGAAGAAAACUUACAUUCUAAUAAAGUGUGAGGCUGACGGUACCUUGAUAAGAAGCACCGGCUAACUACGUGCCAGCAGCCGCGGUAAUACGUAGGGUGCGAGCGUUAAUCGGAAUUACUGGGCGUAAAGCGUGCGCAGGCGGUUUUGUAAGUCAGAUGUGAAAUCCCCGAGCUCAACUUGGGAACUGCGUUUGAAACUACAAGACUAGAAAUAUGUCAGAGGGGGGUAGAAGUUCCACGUGUAGCAGUGAAAUGCGUAGAAGAUGUGGAGGAAUACCAAUGGCGAAGGCAGCCCCCUGGGAUAAUAUUGACGCUCAUGCACGAAAGCGUGGGGAGCAAACAGGAUUAGAUACCCUGGUAGGCGUAGU
rnacentral:rRNA from 1 species